rnacentral:rRNA from 1 species
CCUACGGGAGACAGCAGUGAGGAAUCUUGGUCAAUGGGCGCGAGCCUGACCCAGCCAAGUCGCGUGAAGGAUGACUGCCCUACGGGUUGUAAACUUCUUUUUUAAAGGAAUACAAUGAGGCAAGUGUGCCUUUUUGCCUGUACUUUAUGUAUCCGGAUAGGCUCACUCCGUGCCAGCAGCCGCGGUAAUACGGAGGAUCCGAGCGUUAUCCGGAUUUAUUGGGUUUAACGGGAGCGUAGCGGGGUUGUUAAGUCAGUUGUGAAAGUUUGCGGCUCAACCGUACAAUGGCAAUUGAUACUGGGAGUAUUGAGUACAGAUGAGGUAGGCGGAAGUCGUGGUGUAGCGGUGAAAUGCGUAGAUAUAACGAAGAACUCCGAUUGCGAAGGCAGCCUGCCGGAGCGUAACUGACGCUGAGGCUCGAAAGCGCGGGUAUCGAACAGGAUUAGAUACCCGUGUAGUC